CCCUCGUUCUCCUCGGCAUAUUCAUGAGAGAAGUAGCAGUGUCUGAUUAAUGAAUAAAUCUUUUUUUUUUUUUUUCAGUCAGACCUUUUCAAUAAAUUGGUUGAUUCGGUUCACAAAAAGGUCUGAAUGAUUGAUUCAGAAAUCUGAAAGUUUAACUCACUUGUCGCAGUAGUUAACAGCUCACCGAAGGGAAGAUUAUGAGGUCAUAUGGAGCACUUUUUAUAUUUUUUGAGCUUUUGUAUCCUAUUUUGAAGUUUGGAAGCCUCAGUCUCUAUUCAAGUUGAAGCACAGCAUUCAGACUUGCUCAUUUUGUGUCCUACAGAAGAAAAAAUGCUGUACAAUUUUUGGAAGAAGGACUACAUAAUAUUUUGGAGACCUGUGAAGGUGCUGUACUCUUUCUUUAUGGAGAUUUAUGUGCAUUUUAGACGUUUAACCCCAUCCAUCCAGAGAUGCUGCAGUGUGAACAACAAUAAACACAGGCUCUUUGUGCAAGCUGUGCUUCUCAUGUUGGUUACAAGUUCAUCAAUAAGUUCAAAAUUUCAGCAUAAAUUAUGUAAAUUAUGAAUCUGCCCCAUAGGUAAAAAAAUUAAAUACUCAUAGAUAUAGAAUACAAAUAAAACUACUGGGUCUUAAAAUUGUGGAGAACACGAUCUUAUUGAUUUUAUUUUAUUUGAUGUAAUUUUAAUUUUAAUCUACAGUAUAGUGCAUAUGAUUGACUACUUUUAUGAUGCUUUAUUUUUAAUUUAGGAUUAAAUUACUGUGAUUAGUCUUUUUUUCUUGAUCAGUGGUUAGGGGUAGGCUUUGGGUAUAAAAAUUAUGCACAUGAAAUUAUAAUAUAAUUAUACUACUAUAUUUACAGUGGCAUGAAAAAGUAUGUGAACCCCUUGCAGAAUCUGUGAAAAUGAGAAU